AUUGAACGCUGGCGGCAUGCCUUACACAUGCAAGUCGAACGGUAACAGGUCUUCGGAUGCUGACGAGUGGCGAACGGGUGAGUAAUACAUCGGAACGUGCCCGAUCGUGGGGGAUAACGAGGCGAAAGCUUUGCUAAUACCGCAUACGAUCUACGGAUGAAAGCGGGGGAUCUUCGGACCUCGCGCGGACGGAGCGGCCGAUGGCAGAUUAGGUAGUUGGUGGGAUAAAAGCUUACCAAUCCGACGAUCUGUAGCUGGUCUGAGAGGAGGAUCAGCCACACUGGGACUGAGACACGGCCCAGACUCCUACGGGAGGCAGCAGUGGGGAAUUUUGGACAAUGGGCGAAAGCCUGAUCCAGCCAUGCCGCGUGCAGGAUGAAGGCCUUCGGGUUGUAAACUGCUUUUGCACGGAACGAAAAGCCUCUUUCUAAUAAAGAGAGGUCAUGACGGUACCGUAAGAAUAAGCACCGGCUAACUACGU
rnacentral:rRNA from 1 species